rnacentral:rRNA from 1 species
ACUCAAAUGAAUAGACGGGGGUCCGCACAAGCGGUGGAACAUGUGGUUUAAUUCGAUACUACGCGAGGAACCUUACCUGGGCUUGACAUGUAUAUGACCGCUGUAGAAAUACAGUCUUUCCAACGUAAGUUGGAACAUUUACACAGGUGCUGCAUGGCUGUCGUCAGCUCGUGUCGUGAGAUGUUGGGUUAAGUCCUUUAACGAGCGCAACCCCUGCCGCCAGUUGCUACCCUUACGGGGCACUCUGGUGGGACUGCCUAGGAAACUAGGAGGAAGGUGGGGAUGACGUCAAGUCCGCAUGGUCCUUAUGUCCAGGGCUACACACGUGUUACAAUGGGUAAUACAAAGCGAAGCGAACUUGCAAAAGUAAGCAAAUCGCAGAAAGUUACUCUAAGUUCGGAUUGAGGUCUGCAAUUCGACCUCAUGAAGCUGAAAUCGCUAGUAAUCGCAUAUCAGAACGAUGCGGUGAAUACGUUCUCGGACCUUGUACACACCGCCCGU